GAGAUCACAUCUGCCAGUUCUUUUAAUACUCUUGGAUGCAGUUCAUCUGGCCCUGGAGACUUGAAUACAUCUAGACUAGCCAAGUAUUCUUGUACUAUCUCCUUAGUUAUUCUGGGCUGUGUUUCCUCUGCUGAAUCAUUUGCUCCAAAUUCUUCAGGUCGGGCAUUGUUUUCUUUAUCGGAGAAGACUGAGGCAAAGAAGGCAUUGAGGAGUUCAGCCCUUUCUGUGUCCCCUGUUUGCAUUUCACCAUCUUCUCCUCUGAGUGACCCCACUGUUUCUUUGUUCUUCCUUUUGCUACGAACAUACCCAUAAAAGCCUUUUUGUUGCUUUUAACCUCUCUAGCAAGCCUGAGUUCAUUCUGUGCUUUAGCUUUUCUGACUUUGUGUCUACACGUGCUGGCUAUUUGUUUGAAUUCCUCUUUGGUGGUUUCCCCCCUUUUCCAUUUUUUGUACACAUCCUUUUUUAAUCUUAACUCGGUUAAAAGUUCUUUAGAUAGCCACCCUGGCUUCUUUAGGCACCUUCCAUGUUUCCAUCUCAUUGGUAUUGCCUGAAGUUGUGCUUUUACUAUCUCCCUCUUAACAAACUCCCAGCCAUCAUGAGCUCCUUUCCUUUUAGUAUUACUGUCCAUGGGAUCUCACCCAGCACUUCCCUAAGUUUUAUGAAGUCGGCUUUCUUAAAGUCAAGAAAUUGAG